rnacentral:misc_RNA from 1 species
AAUGAACGAAGUAUCUCCAUUCGUUCUUCCGCAGCUCUGCUUUUUGGACCUUUGCUUCGUAGAUGCGAGGGCCAUGAUAAGCGAGAACCUUCUCGCCUUCAAAGUAGAGACUAGGUUUAGAGUCGGGAACGUCACCGGAGGAAUUUUCGCUGUCGGUAGAAGAGUUGUUUUUUGAGUUAACCAUUUCCGUUUAUCAGAGACUUCCGACCAG